CUUAGUUAUUAUCUUUGAAUUACUUGAAGAUUAAAGGAUGAAACUCACCUGUUGGCAAAGUAGCCACUUACUGGUGUUCCAGUCAUUUACCUUGCCAUAAAUAUAGAUUGUGACAAUGAUUUCAGUGGCUUUUUAUUACACACUAAAUCCCAGUGAAAAAUGUAAAUAAAAAUAUUAAGUUCACACACAAUUGAAGGCAGAAAAUAGUGUUAGAAGAUGUGUUGCUGGGAGGAAAAACUAAGUAUUUGGUAAGAAAUUUGAUUUGUUUUAAUGCUUUAAACCCUGGGAGACCACUAAGUUCCAGGUAGUUUUCCAGACACUGGAAUUAUAGCAGAGAUUAAGAGAGAGACUGCUCCUACACUUAUAUUCCAUAGAUUCUGGUGGGAAUAAAGACAUACAACAGCAGAUUGGAGUGCUAUUCUUAGAAGUGAGUGCAGAAUAGGAGUGUCACAUGCUUGGAAAACCUAUCAUGAAGUGUCACAUUUAGUUGUGUUCUUAACAAAACAGCAACAGCUUUAUAAGAGUGAGUGGGAAACAGACAAAAGAGUGGAUAUAGAGUCCAGAGAGGUAAGGUUUGGCCAGUCAAGAAGAAAGGAAUCACAACACAAGAAGAAAACAUGCUCAUGCUAGAAAAAAAAAAAGACAUGUUAUACAUUUCUUUCUAUUCUCAGGAAACCUCUGAAACAAAUAGUCAUAGUGUCAGUUUAUAUUAAGUAUUGAAGGUUGACUACAUACAACGUAUUUUGUAAACCAUGAAAAAUGUCUAAGUCAAAAGGGUCAAGUUUAGGGUCUUUAUCCUUCCCAGCAGGAUCCUUGAAGUGGGCAAGUAUCUAUUCAGACAGAAACCAGCAAGGAGAGUAAGGAGACAAGCAAUAAAUAAGAAUUAACUACUAGCUUUGGGAAAACUACUUUAACCAGUUCAAUGAACAGAUUAAAUUUAAUGUAAACCAUUCAGGAAACAGUUUUUUUAAAAAAAAAACUGUAAAUCUCAAUACUUUUAUCUGAUCUUCCUUCUCUGCCC
rnacentral:lncRNA from 1 species